UCUUCUAACUCGUUAUUUUCUUACAAAUGUCAAGUAAGCUCUGUUUUUUUUUUUUAUUAGUUCUCUUAGUUAUGGUCUCCCACUUCAGUUCUCAAUCGACUUAUCUAUCCGAGAGAAGCGAACAUAAAAGCAUCGUCUUACAGUGGAAACAUAGCCAGCCUUUAAUUUGAAGUUAAUUCUCCCAGACUCUGUCCAAGUUCUCCACCUUCUGCUUGCUGCUUUCUUGACCAGCCUUUGGAGUUAAUUUCAGACUACGUGUGUAAGCUGUAAAUUUUCUGUUUUGGAUGGUGUAUCAUGUAUGUGUAUCAUGAUAUACGUGUAGAAUAUUGUGGAUGUGUGUGUAUACCAUGGAUGUGUAUGUACCAUGGAUGUGUAUGUGUAUCAUAGACCCUCUCUCUGUCUCUCUCUCCCCCUACUCUCUCUGUCUCUCUCUCCCCCUACUCUCACACAUGUAGAAUAUCGUGGAUGUGUCUGUGUACCAUGGAUGUGUAUCGUGGAUGUGGCUGUGUACCAUGGAUGUGUAAACUAUGUGUGAAAUAUAGGAGAGAGAGUAGUAUUUAUCCGUAAAAAUUAUAUAUAAAGAAAACUGCGAAACACAGAGAUUAAGGGUACA